UGCCAGCCGCCGCGGUAACACGUAGGGGGCAAGCGUUGUCCGGAUUUAUUGGGCGUAAAGAGCUCGUAGGCGGCUCGGUAAGUCGACCGUGAAAUUCCAAGGCUCAACCUUGGACCGCCGGUCGAUACUGCUGUGGCUACAGUCCGGUAGGGGAGUGCGGAAUUCCUGGUGUAGCGGUGAAAUGCGCAGAUAUCAGGAGGAACACCAGCGGCGAAGGCGGCACUCUGGGCCGGUACUGACGCUGAGGAGCGAAAGCGUGGGGAGCAAACAGGAUUAGAUA
rnacentral:rRNA from 1 species